GGAUUUGAAUGUUGAUGGCUAUAAACAACAUUUACAAAGCGAUGGUUUUGUAUGGAUAUUUUAUUGUAUCUCAGUCUUCAUUUAGAUGGGAUAUCAAAACAGCAACUGUUAUGUAUGGACAAAGUGCAACGCUUUCUUGUAAUGGUAAUGGCUGUACGCCAUUAAGCAUAAGAAAAUGGAUAGGAGGACCAACAAAUGGUGUAUUAUGCUUCAAUGAUUAUUGUUCAAAUCAAGCAAAAUAUCAACUAAUGUACAAUAAAUCAAAACCUUCCUUUGACCUAAUGAUAAAACGCUUCAAUUUCACCGAUGCAAACUGUACUUAUACAUGCGCAUGUGGAUUUAAUCAAUACACGCAUAUGCUGCAAAUGGAUGAAAUCGACUUUAUAUAUCCAUUAAAUAAAGAGCUAACAAAAACAAAACAGAAAGACGGCAAAUUUUAUAUAGAAAUAUCAAUGAAGGUUUAUCCCUUACCGCAUUGUACCAUUUUCUAUGAGGUAUGUAUAAUAGAUUGUAGACAAAUGUAUACACUACAAUGUGUUCAAAUUUUAUAAAAAAAUGAUAUAGUAAUAUCUCUUAUCAUAAAUGAAGAUAUAAUCGAUUGUUUUUUUAAUGGACUCAGAUUGUUUAGCUGUAUAACUGUUUGUAUUAAGAAAUUAUCUUUCCAUCAGGUGACAAGUAGACGUAACACUGUUUUGUACUUUAUCCGAAUGAAUAUGUAUAUGUUUAUAAACAUAAUUCACAUAUUGUUUUCCUUUAUUGACGAUCGCGAUCUACAGAUUCAUGACGAACACUUGAUAAAUUGUGACUAUAUUUAACAGUGACAUUAUCUAUGUUCUUUUUAUAAGCAUUAUCCGCCUAAAUUAUAGAUUUCGACUUCAUUACAAUAGUUCCUUAAUUAAGAAUUUCAAUGGUUUUUUAAUCAAGCAAAAUGUAACUAUGGUAGUGUAGAUUCUUAUGAUGAUUGAAAUUCCCUUUUUCAUAUUAUGACAUUGAGUUAGAAGUAAAACCUUCAAAGUUAACUUUUUAUUGCAGUAAUAGUAUCCAUUUAGUAUUAUGCAUUUCAAUUGUAAUGGCAUUAUUUUAGAUUAUAAUGAAAUAUUUAAAUUGCGUAUUAAAAUGCUAGUCGAGGAACUGUUUUGUUGGAUCUUAAGUUGUUUGGUUAUUGAAAUAGUAUGUCACAAUACGUUGUGCUCGUAACUUUAAAAUAGAAAAUUAAAACGAAACGGUUUCAAGAGGGUAAAAUCCACUGGUGCGUUUCUGGUUGCUGUAUUCAAUAUUCUAGUUGGCGUUUCUAUCUGAAAAUUCAGGUAAGGGCACGAUUGGGUAAUUGCAUGAAAUUAAAACUACCGUGGUAAAACUAAAACCCAUAAUUAUGCAAUAUCAAUCGUCUUUUUGUUUACUUUAUUAAUAUGAUUUAAUCUAAAUACAUAUUGAGGUUAUAAUGAAUUGAUUUUCAUGAAUACAGAGUUUAAUUGUUGAAGAAUGAUUCAAACAACAACAAAUUGAUAAAAUACACGAAUGUCAAUAUCUGACAAAAGUGUUGAGGUUGAAAAAAUAAUCUUUGAAUUAAAUAAAGUACGGUUAAUCUUUUAAAAAAUGAAAAAUGAUAUAUAACAUGUAACGAAAAAAUGUACAUGGUAAUGACGUUUUUAAUAUAAUAUAAACACAAAGAAAAUUGUAAAGCAUUUGUUGUUAGUAUCUGUCAUAUUAUAGGAAUUGUAAAGUAUUGAAAAACGAUAACAAACGGGAGACCUCAGACAACAAUAGAAUCUAUUUAAGGAAUGACUGUAAUAUUUUUUCUGUCUAUGAAGAAAUAACAUAAAAAUGUGGUGCACACUGAAUAACCAGCGUAGCGGGUUUUUUCAAAGUGUGCACCACAUUUUUUAUGUUUUUUUUCGAAAAGACAGAAAAAAUAUUUCAGUCAUUCCUUAUAAUUUAAUUCUAAAUUCCAUUUUAAUCCGGAGUAUAUCAUGAAAAAACGUUGAUGACGUCACGGUCACAUGACUAAAUUAUGUCUUUUAGCUGAUAGAUAAAACACUAUCAGCCAAUCAGAAGAAGCGUUACAUCCAUAAUUAAAUCAUAUCGAUAUUGAUAACAUAUAUCUUUUAAGACCAAAGGGAAUUUCAAAAACUGAUUUCAUAGUACUAACAGUUAUACCAGUAACUAAUUAAAAAGUGUAACCGUAGAAUACUGACGUAAUUUUGUACUAUGUAUUUCUAUUGUAUAUAUAUACUCAUCAUAGAUACCAGGAUUAAAUUUUGUAUUGACGCCAGACGCCCGUUUCGUCUACAAAAGACUCAUCAGUGACGCUCGAAUCCAAAAAAGUUAAAAAGGCCAAACAAAGUACGAAGUUGAAGAGCAUUGAGCACCAAAAUUCCAAAAAGUUUUGCCAAAUACAGCUAUGGUAAUCUUUUUCUGAAGUAGAAAAGCCUAAGUAUUUCAAAAAUUCAAAAGUUUUGUAAACAGUUAAUUAGACUAUAUCUGGUUUAUCUAACUACAAGUCAAAAUAAUUGUAGUUUGCUGCUUAUUUAUAUCCUUUUAGAAAAUUGUUUUACCUGUAGACACAAAAUUACUGGAUGUACAAACGGAAGUUGGAUUAAAAUUGUAUAAAAUCACAUUAAAAUAUACUUUAAACGUGGAGUACCAGAACUGUGAAGCAAAUCUUAGUCUGUCAUGUAAAGUUAGGUCAUUUGAGUACCAUCUGCUUCAACAGAGACUUGACCUAUGCAAAGAUCAUCCAGAUCAUCCAUAUGUUCAAAGCAGCAACCAUGUUGGGGCAAUAUUUGGAAUCGUUUCCGGUGUUGUUGCAGUAAUCAUCGUGAUAUGUGUUAUACGAUGGAGGAGAAGGAACAACAACAGAUUCUUUCGACAUUAACUGACAAAGAGGAAAGAAGUCGUGUUCACUCAUGGAACAUAGAAAAGGGAGUUCUCGCUAUCACAGUUCAACAUAAGUACAAAGAAAUAAAAAUAAAGAAUUCCGCAUAACAGGAGAGAUUAAGAAGUAAAGCGAACAUUGGUACAUAUUUACUAGUUAAGAUCAUCAGCCUUAGUAGAUAUUUUAUCAAUGAGGAAAAUAAGAGAAUUCUAUAAUCGGAAAAGUAGAGAUACAUUUUAAAAUAACAUUGGACUAGUGGUUGUAUUAGUUGAGUAUAGGAAUACUAAUAGGCACCGAAUUUUUAUUUUUGGAAUGAUAAAAUCGAUUCUGGUGAUAUAUACAUAAUAUUAAUAGAAUGUCAAUUUGUUGAAAGUAUUAGUUUGCACUCUUUUUUUGCUAAUUUAGUAAAUUUUCAGUUUAAUGUUGUCAUUUUUUAAAAAUAUUACCACUGAAUAA